rnacentral:rRNA from 1 species
GCUUACACAUGCAGUCGAACGGUGAACACGGAGCUUGCUCUGUGGGAUCAGUGGCGAACGGGUGAGUAACACGUGAGCAACCUGCCCCUGACUCUGGGAUAAGCGCUGGAAACGGCGUCUAAUACUGGAUAUGUGACGUGACCGCAUGGUCUGCGUUUGGAAAGAUUUUUCGGUUGGGGAUGGGCUCGCGGCCUAUCAGCUUGUUGGUGAGGUAAUGGCUCACCAAGGCGUCGACGGGUAGCCGGCCUGAGAGGGUGACCGGCCACACUGGGACUGAGACACGGCCCAGACUCCUACGGGAGGCAGCAGUGGGGAAUAUUGCACAAUGGGCGCAAGCCUGAUGCAGCAACGCCGCGUGAGGGAUGACGGCCUUCGGGUUGUAAACCUCUUUUAGCAGGGAAGAAGCGAAAGUGACGGUACCUGCAGAAAAAGCGCCGGCUAACUACGUGCCAGCAGCCGCGGUAAUACGUAGGGCGCAAGCGUUAUCCGGAAUUAUUGGGCGUAAAGAGCUCGUAGGCGGUUUGUCGCGUCUGCUGUGAAAUCCCGAGGCUCAACCUCGGGCCUGCAGUGGGUACGGGCAGACUAGAGUGCGGUAGGGGGAGAUUGGGAAUUCCUGGUGUAGCGGUGGAAUGCGCAGAUAUCAGGAGGAACACCGAUGGCGAAGGCAGAUCUCUGGGCCGUAACUGACGCUGAGGAGCGAAAGGGUGGGGAGCAAACAGGCUUAGAUACCCUGGUAGUCCACCCCGUAAACGUUGGGAACUAGUUGUGGGGUCCAUUCCACGGAUUCCGUGACGCAGCUAACGCAUUAAGUUCCCCGCCUGGGGGAGUACGGCCGCAAGGCUAAAACUCAAAGGAAUUGACGGGGACCCGCACAAGCGGCGGAGCAUGCGGAUUAAUUCGAUGCAACGCGAAGAACCUUACCAAGGCUUGACAUAUACGAGAACGGGCCAGAAAUGGUCAACUCUUUGGACACUCGUAAACAGGUGGUUGCAUGGUUGUCGUCAGCUCGUGUCGUGAGAUGUUUGGGUUAAGUCCCGCAACGAGCGCAACCCUCGUUCUAUGUUGCCAGCACGUUAAUGGUGGGGAACUCAUGGGGAUACUGCCGGGGUCACUCCGCAGAAAAGGUGGGGGAAGAACGUCAAAUCAUCAUGCCCCCUUAUGUCUUGGGCUUUCCCCCUGCUACAAUGGGCGGGGACAAAGGGUGGCAUUACCUUGGAGGUGGAAACAAAUCCCAAAAGACGGUUCCCCCUUCCGAAUUAAGGUCUGUAAUCUAAACUCCUGGAAUCCGGAACGCCUAUUAAUCCGAAUA